GAUGAACGCUGGCGGCGUGCUUAACACAUGCAAGUCGAGCGAUGAAGUUUUCUUCGGGAAACGGAUUAGCGGCGGACGGGUGAGUAACACGUGGGUAACCUGCCUCAUAGAGUGGAAUAGCCUUUCGAAAGGAAGAUUAAUACCGCAUAAUGUUGAAAGAUGGCAUCAUCAUUCAACCAAAGGAGCAAUCUGCUAUGAGAUGGACCCGCGGCGCAUUAGCUAGUUGGGUGGGUAACGGCCUACCAAGGCGACGAUGCGUAGCCGACCUGAGAGGGUGAUCGGCCACAUUGGGACUGAGACACGGCCCAGACUCCUACGGGAGGCAGCAGUGGGGAAUAUUGCACAAUGGGGGAAACCCUGAUGCAGCAACGCCGCGUGAGUGAUGAAGGUUUUCGGAUCGUAAAGCUCUGUCUUUGGGGAAGAUAAUGACGGUACCCAAGGAGGAAGCCACGGCUAACUACGUGCCAGCCGCCGCGGUAA
rnacentral:rRNA from 1 species